rnacentral:ncRNA from 1 species
AUGUACAUAGCUAUAGCUUCUUUUUAGGGGCGCUAACUGGCGCAUUGUACCAGGUUCCUGCGUAUGUAGCGGUGGUGCGUGAUGGCGUGAUAUAUGUAAAUAUAUCGCACUAAUCGAGGCUAAGCUGCAAAUAAACAUUAGACGCCGUGGUUGAAAUCCCUCCCUGAGGAACCGCCACGUAAAAUAAAGCUGAGAGAUCAGAUUCAUUCUGUCCCUAUCUACUAUCUAGCGAAACCACAGCCAAGGGAACGGGCUUGGAAUAAUUAGCGGGGAAAGAAGACCCUUUUGAGCUUGACUCUAAUCUGGCAGUGUAAGGAGACAUAAGAGGUGUAGCAUAAGUGGGAGAUAUUAGAUUUCGGUUUGGUAUCGACAAUGAAAUACCACUACUCUUAUUGUUUCCUUACUUACUUGAUUAAAUGGAACGUGUAUCAUUUCCUAGCCAUUAUACGGAUAUAUUUAUUAUAUCUUAUGGUAUUGGGUUUUGAUGCAAGCUUCUUGAUCAAAGUAUCACGAGUUUGUUAUAUAAUCGCAAACAAAUUCUUUAAUGAGAAAAUGCAUUUAUGUAUUUUCAAUUUGAAAAUUUGGUAUAACUCCAAUUACUCAGGUAUGAUCCAAUUCAAGGACAUUGCCAGGUAGGGAGUUUGACUGGGGCGGUACAUCUCUCAAAUAAUAACGGAGGUGUCCCAAGGCCAGCUCAGUGCGGACAGGAAACCACACAUAGAGCAAAAGGGCAAAUGCUGACUUGAUCUCGGUGUUCAGUACACACAGGGACAGCAAAAGCUCGGCCUAUCGAUCCUUUUGGUUUAAAGAGUUUUUAACAGAGUGUCAGAAAAGUUACCAUAGGGAUAACUGGCUUGUGGCGGCCAAGCGUUCAUAGCGACGUCGCUUUUUGAUCCUUCGAUGUCGGCUCUUCCUAUCAUUGUGAAGCAAAAUUCACCAAGCGUUGGAUUGUUCACCCAUGCAAGGGAACGUGAGCUGGGUUUAGACCGUCGUGAGACAGGUUAGUUUUACCCUACUAAUGACAAAACGUUGUUGCGACAGCAUUCCUGCGUAGUACGAGAGGAACCGCAGGUACGGACCAAUGGCACAAUACUUGUUCGAGCGAACAGUGGUAUGACGCUACGUCCGUUGGAUUAUGCCUGAACGCCUCUAAGGUCGUAUCCGUGCUGGACUGCAAUGAUAAAUAAGGGGCAAUUUGCAUUGUAUGGCUUCUAAACCAUUAAAAGUUUAUAAUUUAUUUUAUAAACGACAAUGGAUGUGAUGCCAAUGUAAUUUGUAACAUAGUAAAUUGGGAGGAUCAUCGAUCACCUGAUGCCGCGCUAGUUGCAUAUAAAAACAUUAUUUAAUACAAUGACAAAGCCUAGAAUCAAUUGUACACGACUUUUGUAACAGGCAAGGUGUUGUAAGUGGUUGAGCAGCUGCCAUACUGCGAUCCACUGAAGCUUAUCCUUUGCUUGAUGAUUCGA